GCCAGUGUGGCAUAGCGGUUUGAACGCUAGACUAUGACUCUGGAGAACAGAGUUUGAAUCACAGCUCAGCCA